rnacentral:rRNA from 1 species
UGAGGAAUAUUGGUCAAUGGGCGAAAGCCUGAACCAGCCAUGCCGCGUGCAGGAAGACGGCCCUACGGGUUGUAAACUGCUUUUCUGCGGGAAGAACGGCCCUUACGUGUAAGGGUGUGACGGUACCGCAGGAAUAAGGAUCGGCUAACUCCGUGCCAGCAGCCGCGGUAAUACGGAGGAUCCGAGCGUUAUCCGGAUUUACUGGGUUUAAAGGGUGCGUAGGCGGCUCCCUCAGUCAGCGGUGAAAUGUAUCGGCUCAACCGAUAACCUGCCGUUGAUACUGGUGAGCUUGAGUUGGGUUGAGGCAGGCGGAAUGUGCGGUGUAGCGGUGAAAUGCUUAGAUAUCGCACAGAACGCCGAUUGCGUAGGCAGCUUGCCAAGCCCACACUGACGCUGAGGCACGAAAGCGUGGGGAUCAAACA